UGGCGGACGGGUGAGUAAUGUCUGGGAAACUGCCCGAUGGAGGGGGAUAACUACUGGAAACGGUAGCUAAUACCGCAUAAUGUCUGCGGACCAAAGCGGGGGACCUCCGGGCCUCGCGCCAUCAGAUGAACCCAUAUGGGAUUAGCUUGUAGGUAAGGUAACGGCUUACCUAGGCGACGAUCCCUAGCUGGUCUGAGAGGAUGAUCAGCCACACUGGGACUGAGACACGGUCCAA
rnacentral:rRNA from 1 species